CCAUCAGACAUUUGUCUCCACUGGGGGCGACUUGAUCCACAAAUGAGAUCCCACCAGUGACCCAGGUAAGAGGAUUGCAAAGGCCAAGAGGCUUGAGGAGGGAAGGCUGCCCGGAAGGCAGUCUGUCCUGGAGACAGAGUGAGCAGGAACCCACAGUGAGAGCAGGAGUGGCAGGAGGUGGUCACAGCUGGAGGCAGAAGCAGGAAUGCAGCAGCAGCAGCAGCCAGGCGCAAGGCAGCUCUGUAAACCUGCAAACUCGAGGCUGGCUGAACUCUACAGCAUUGACUAACACGGGGCUUUUCCAUCUGGCAUUUCCACUUGCUUUGGUAUCCACAGGCGCUUCCGGGCCCGGGGGCAGCCGCCACGCACACACGCAUGCCACCUGAGCAAGCCUUGAUGGGUGAAUACCAGGAGACCCCUGAAGGUGCUCCUUGCUUCAGGAGCCUGAGAACCCAGUCUUUCGUCUUGUAAGGGGGUCCUCUGGCACCGCAGGCCCCAAACUCUACUCCUCCCGCCAUCUCUCCUGGACCUCCCCGAGCCACGCAGCCCCCUCUUCCUCUCCACCCUCACAGGAGACCGCCGGUGCCUGGCCUGAGAAUCCAAGUGCAGCUGGGGAAUGGCCUGGAAGAGGCCGUAAAGGCUGGAAUGGAACAGUCCAGCCUCACACAGUGGCUAACAGCACAGAGUUCAUUCCAAUCCGGCUCUCCCUCAACCAUCUGUGUGACCUUGGGCAACUUCACCUCUGUGUGCCUGCUUCCUCACUGGUAAAACAGGAGCAAAACAGUACCCACCGCCUAGGCUUGCUCUGAGGAUCAAGUAAGUUGGUACUUAUCCUGGAGCACUAAGUAAGUUGGUACUUAUCCUGGAGCACUAAGUAAGUUGGUACUUAUCCUGGAGCACUAAGUAAGUUGGUACUUAUCCUGGAGCACUAAGUAAGUUGGUACUUAUCCUGGAGCACUAAGUAAGUUGGUACUUAUCCUGGAGCACUAAGUAAGUUGGUACUUAUCCUGGAGCACUAAGUUGGUACUUAUCCUGGAGCACUAAGUAAGUUGGUACUUAUCCUGGAGCACUCAGAACAAUGCACUUGGCUAGCUGCAUGACAUGCUAUGCGCAUGGAGCGUGGCGGCCAAACUCCUCCUGGCUCCACCGGAAAGGGCACAAUGCAGCUAUCGCCGGGCCGAUUCCACGUCUGAAAUCACGGAUAAUGACCACCUCCCCUUAUUUAACAAAAAAUAUGGCUAAAUAAUCCAUCUAAGCAACAGGGGAAGGCAAAACCCGCUCCACACAAAUCUCAAAGGUUAAAAUAAAACCAAUGUCUGACACUGGUUUCUGAGCCCAGAUGGGAGGUUGGAGCUGCUCCCAAGGCCACGGCCCUCGACACAGCUCCCCAGACAACUCUGCCACCAUCUGGUGUCGAGCUCCAAAGUAGUUUCUGCCAAGAAAGUUGCCUAGCCCAGGGUUUUUGGUUUGUUUUGUUUUGAGACGCAGUUUCGCUCUUACCGCCCAGGCUGGAGUGCAGUGGUGCGAUCUCAGGUCACUGCAACCACCCCGUCCCGGGUUCAAGCAAUUCUCCUGCCUCAGCCUCCCAAGUAGCUGGAAUUACAGGCAUGUGCCACCACACCCAGCUAAUUUUUGUAUUUUUAGUAGAGAUGGGGUUUCACCAUGUUAGCCAGGCUGGUCUCAAACUCCUGAAGUGAUCCACCCGCCUCAGCCUCCCAAAGUACUGGGAUUACAGGCGUGAGCCACCGCGCCUGGACUAGCCCAGGGUUUUCAAACCCACUCAUGAAAUCAAGUUCGUGAGUCACAAAAAGCGUUUUGUUUUUCCGAGACAGAGUCUUGCUCUGUCGCCCAGGCUGGAGUGCAGUGGUAUGAUCUUGGAUUACUGCAACCUCUGCCUCCCGGGUUCAAGUGAUUCUCCAGCCUCAGCUUCCUGAGUAGCUGGGAUUACAGGUGUGUGCCACCAUGCCCAGCAAGUUUUUGUAUUUUUAGUAGAGUAUUUUUAGGUUUCACCAUGUUGGCCAGGAUGGUCCCGAACUCCUGACUUCGUGAUCCGUCCGCCUCAGCCUCCCAAAGUGCUGGGAUUACAUGUGUAAGCCACUGCGCCCGGCCGCGUUUUGUUCUUUUAAAUGAAUUAGUGGAGAACAGAAACUCUCAGAAUGUUGCACGUGAUAUGCAGAGGUAACAGUCUGUCUGUGUUCUGGGUAUUAGCAAAACAGGCACUCUCACUGGGGUUGCGUUUGGGAGUCCAAGCGCCACUGUGAGGCCAACCCUGGUAUCAGCUGUGUACCCUGAGGCUCCCCGGCACGUCAUAAAGGGCACUCAAUAAGCACUGCCUGGGCCAGCAGAGGGCACCGGGCACAAAGCACCACUCAGGGACCACCCUGAUCAGAGGACCUGGUUCUUCCCCAGACCAGGCCUGCCCAGCCAGCAGGAGGCAGAAGCAGGAGACACUCACCAGCUUUCCUGCUGCGGCCUCCUGGCUCUACAGGACGAUCAGCAGGAGCACAGUCCGGGGCUCCUCUCCACCUUGUGGCCUGGACUUCCUUUCCCACCUGGCCCCCAUCCCCUGGGCUGUCCCUGGCUCUUCCCUCCCACUCAUCUGCUUUCUUUCCUCAACUUUGCUUCCUCCCACCCGUCUAGCCCUCUCCUUAACUCUUCAUUCUCCCUUUUCCUUUCUUUCCCUGCCUGCCACCUCCUUUUCCAGGACACACACACAUAAAUAUUUUUCAGACAAUUCAGCCUUUAUUUUAGAAAAUAAUUCUGUAGCUUCCACUUUCUUUCAUGAAACUGAGGUCAGGCAAGAAACAAAAAUCCACCAAGUCCUCUCCAUCCUGCCAUGGCGUCCUGGGCACUGAUUUUCAGAAAGGAGGGGUCAGGGCAUAGUCCCU
rnacentral:lncRNA from 1 species